rnacentral:rRNA from 1 species
UUGUAAUUUGGAGAAGGUGCUUCGGCGACGACGGCGGCUCAAGUUUCCUGGAACGGAGCGUCAGAGAGGGUGAGAAUCCCGUACGCGGCCGCCCGUCCGACCCGUGUGAAGCCCUUUCGACGAGUCGGGUUGUUUGGGAAUGCAGCCCUAAGUGGGUGGUAAAUUUCAUCUAAAGCUAAAUACCUGCCAAAGACCGAUAGCGCACAAGUAGAGUGAUCGAAAGAUGAAAAGAACUUUGAAAAGAGAGUUAAACAGUACGUGAAAUUGUUGAAAGGGAAGCGCUUGCAGCCAGACUCGUACGCGGGGGCUCAGCCGUCCCUCGGGGCGGUGUAUUCCCCCGCGCUCGGGCCAGCAUCGGUUUCGGCGGCCGGACAAAGACCCUGGGAAUGUAGUUCCCUCCGGGGAGCGUUAUAGCCCGGGGUACAAUGCGGCCUGCCGGGACCGAGGACCGCGCU